rnacentral:tRNA from 1 species
GGAGGAAUCGCAUAAUGGUAUUGCAGCAGUCUUGAAAACUGCCGGGCUUCCGCCUGUGGGGGUUCGAGUCCCUCUUCCUCCGCAA